GGUGUCCUCCAGACGAAUCUCCCGACCACUUUUCCCGCAGUCCUCACAUCGCAAUGACGAAACUGCACAUUGGAUCCCACUUGCCAAUUCAGCCGCAACUCCUCCAAGUUCGGGAACCGCACCUGCCCUGGCUGACCUCGCAGUAAUAACGAACUGUGGGUGGGAGAGGAGGCUCCGCUGAAAGAGAUGAUAGCUCGUGAAGAUUCAGUGAGACUUCGGUGGGCUUCACUGUGAGCUUGGGAUACUGCGAACUUUCAGAGACCUCCAUGAAAUCAAAUAAGGGCGUAAUUCCGUGAGAUUCUACCUCAAAUUGCUGGGCUAUUGUGAGGAUUAUCCCUCAAGAUGUUGAAGGUUAUGCGGCUCUUCUGUCUGUGUUUGAGCUUAACCACCCACUUAAAGACGAGUUCUAGUGCUGUAGCUUUUAGGCCAAUUAGCUGGGAAAGAGCAGUAUGAGCCGUGUGCAACACAAAGCUUGAGAAGCGCUGUGGGCAACCGCACACCAUGGCUGGAAAGAUCACGAAAGAUGAGUUAGAUUUGAGCAAUGACCUUCAAGCGUCUUCUUCAAAUCUUCCGGGGAGACAAGGACAAGUUAACUUGUGGAGCAUGAAAAGUGCAGAACAAGCUAGAUUGAAGACGUUUCGAACUCUUGAAGGAUGAAUUUGCGAUUCUGGAUGCCUAUCCUAGUGCGGAGCCUCAUGUGGCGAAACGAUAGAUUGUAGAAACAUUUCGGUACAAUUUCUUCUUUUCAUGUACCCUAAACUGCGGCACUUACUCAAGAUUGUCCAGAGUAUAAUAUGUGAAGAAACCAGAAGGGGGCAUCGACUGAUUGUGACAGCUUUGGGAUUCCCCUCUUUACAGCGCAUGAGCUUGUUCC